UACGUAGGGUGCGAGCGUUGUCCGGAAUUAUUGGGCGUAAAGAGCUCGUAGGCGGUCUGUUGCGUCCGCUGUGAAAACUCGGGGCUUAACCCCGAGCCUGCAGUGGAUACGGGCAGACUAGAGGUAGGUAGGGGAGAGUGGAAUUCCCGGUGUAGCGGUGAAAUGCGCAGAUAUCGGGAGGAACACCGGUGGCGAAGGCGGUUCUCUGGGCCUUACCUGACGCUGAGGCGCGAAAGCUAGGGGAGCGAACAGG
rnacentral:rRNA from 1 species